rnacentral:lncRNA from 1 species
CAUAGGUGUUAAGUUUCUCAAUUAUCCAUUUUGCCAUUCUUUUUUCUAAUAUAUAUGUUGGUGCUGAAACUUUCUCUACGACCAGUCUUGCUUCUAUGGGAUCUUUAUAUCUUUUCACAAAGGCAAAUAGUCUUGGUGGUCUAGGCGAUGUUACAAAAGCUCCUCUUAAAAAACUGGGCAGUUUAUUAUGUUUCAAAAUCCUCCUAACUUCCGUAUUAAUUCUUUCAGUUGGAUCAUCUUGUAAGAGCCUACAGUUAUUCUUCACAAUAAAGUACUUGAUAAAAGCGUCGUAUGUUUCUUUCUUUAAUAGGACCGUCAACUUACUCUUAUCAUCCCUG